rnacentral:rRNA from 1 species
UACGUAGGGGGCAAGCGUUAUCCGGAUUUACUGGGUGUAAAGGGAGCGCAGACGGCUAGCCAAGUCUGAAGUGAAACCCCGCAGCUCAACUGCGGGCUUGCUUUGGAAACUGGUUGGCUAGAGUGUCGGAGGGGUAAGCGGAAUUCCUAGUGUAGCGGUGAAAUGCGUAGAUAUUAGGAGGAACACCGGUGGCGAAGGCGGCUUACUGGACGACAACUGACGUUGAGGCUCGAAAGCGUGGGGAG